rnacentral:rRNA from 1 species
AUUGAACGCUGGCGGCAGGCCUAACACAUGCAAGUCGAACGAGUGGCGGACGGGUGAGUAAUGUCUGGGAAACUGCCUGAUGGAGGGCGAUAACUACUGGAAACGGUAGCUAAUACCGCAUACCAUCGGAUGUGCCCAGGUGGGAUUAGCUAGUGGGUGGGGUAAAGGCUCACCUAGGCGACGAUCCCUAGCUGGUAUGAGAGGAUGACCAGUCACACUGGAACUGAGACACGGUCCAGAUUCCUACGGGAGGCAGCAGUGGGGAAUAUUGCACAAUGGGCGAAAGCCUGAUGCAGCCAUGCCGCGUGUGUGAAGAAGGCCUUCGGGUUGUAAAGUACUUUCAGCGGGGAGGCGUUACCAGCAGAAGAAGCACCGGCUAACUACGUGCCAGCAGCCGCGGUAAUAC